rnacentral:rRNA from 1 species
GACGUAGGGCGCAAGCGUUGUCCGGAUUAUUGGGCGUAAAGAGCUCGUAGGCGGCUUGUUGCGUCGACCGUGAAAACCCGUGGCUCAACUGCGGGCUUGCGGUCGAUACGGGCGGGCUAGAGUUCGGUAGGGGAGACUGGAAUUCCUGGUGUAGCGGUGAAAUGCGCAGAUAUCAGGAGGAACACCGGUGGCGAAGGCGGGUCUCUGGGCCGAUACUGACGCUGAGGAGCGAAAGCGUGGGGAGCGAACAGG